AGCGUACACGGUGGAUGCCCUGGCAGUCAGAGGCGAUGAAGGACGUGCUAAUCUGCGAUAAGCGUCGGUAAGGUGAUAUGAACCGUUAUAACCGGCGAUUUCCGAAUGGGGAAACCCAGUGUGUUUCGACACACUAUCAUUAACUGAAUCCAUAGGUUAAUGAGGCGAACCGGGGGAACUGAAACAUCUAAGUACCCCGAGGAAAAGAAAUCAACCGAGAUUCCCCCAGUAGCGGCGAGCGAACGGGGAGCAGCCCAGAGCCUGAAUCAGUGUGUGUGUUAGUGGAAGCGUCUGGAAAGGCGCGCGAUACAGGGUGACAGCCCCGUACACAAAAAUGCACAUGCUGUGAGCUCGAUGAGUAGGGCGGGACACGUGGUAUCCUGUCUGAAUAUGGGGGGACCAUCCUCCAAGGCUAAAUACUCCUGACUGACCGAUAGUGAACCAGUACCGUGAGGGAAAGGCGAAAAGAACCCCGGCGAGGGGAGUGAAAAAGAACCUGAAACCGUGUACGUACAAGCAGUGGGAGCACGCUUAGGCGUGUGACUGCGUACCUUUUGUAUAAUGGGUCAGCGACUUAUAUUCUGUAGCAAGGUUAACCGAAUAGGGGAGCCGAAGGGAAACCGAGUCUUAACUGGGCGUUAAGUUGCAGGGUAUAGACCCGAAACCCGGUGAUCUAGCCAUGGGCAGGUUGAAGGUUGGGUAACACUAACUGGAGGACCGAACCGACUAAUGUUGAAAAAUUAGCGGAUGACUUGUGGCUGGGGGUGAAAGGCCAAUCAAACCGGGAGAUAGCUGGUUCUCCCCGAAAGCUAUUUAGGUAGCGCCUCGUGAAUUCAUCUCCGGGGGUAGAGCACUGUUUCGGCAAGGGGGUCAUCCCGACUUACCAACCCGAUGCAAACUGCGAAUACCGGAGAAUGUUAUCACGGGAGACACACGGCGGGUGCUAACGUCCGUCGUGAAGAGGGAAACAACCCAGACCGCCAGCUAAGGUCCCAAAGUCAUGGUUAAGUGGGAAACGAUGUGGGAAGGCCCAGACAGCCAGGAUGUUGGCUUAGAAGCAGCCAUCAUUUAAAGAAAGCGUAAUAGCUCACUGGUCGAGUCGGCCUGCGCGGAAGAUGUAACGGGGCUAAACCAUGCACCGAAGCUGCGGCAGCGACACUAUGUGUUGUUGGGUAGGGGAGCGUUCUGUAAGCCUGUGAAGGUGUGCUGUGAGGCAUGCUGGAGGUAUCAGAAGUGCGAAUGCUGACAUAAGUAACGAUAAAGCGGGUGAAAAGCCCGCUCGCCGGAAGACCAAGGGUUCCUGUCCAACGUUAAUCGGGGCAGGGUGAGUCGACCCCUAAGGCGAGGCCGAAAGGCGUAGUCGAUGGGAAACAGGUUAAUAUUCCUGUACUUGGUGUUACUGCGAAGGGGGGACGGAGAAGGCUAUGUUGGCCGGGCGACGGUUGUCCCGGUUUAAGCGUGUAGGCUGGUUUUCCAGGCAAAUCCGGAAAAUCAAGGCUGAGGCGUGAUGACGAGGCACUACGGUGCUGAAGCAACAAAUGCCCUGCUUCCAGGAAAAGCCUCUAAGCAUCAGGUAACAUCAAAUCGUACCCCAAACCGACACAGGUGGUCAGGUAGAGAAUACCAAGGCGCUUGAGAGAACUCGGGUGAAGGAACUAGGCAAAAUGGUGCCGUAACUUCGGGAGAAGGCACGCUGAUAUGUAGGUGAGGUCCCUCGCGGAUGGAGCUGAAAUCAGUCGAAGAUACCAGCUGGCUGCAACUGUUUAUUAAAAACACAGCACUGUGCAAACACGAAAGUGGACGUAUACGGUGUGACGCCUGCCCGGUGCCGGAAGGUUAAUUGAUGGGGUUAGCGCAAGCGAAGCUCUUGAUCGAAGCCCCGGUAAACGGCGGCCGUAACUAUAACGGUCCUAAGGUAGCGAAAUUCCUUGUCGGGUAAGUUCCGACCUGCACGAAUGGCGUAAUGAUGGCCAGGCUGUCUCCACCCGAGACUCAGUGAAAUUGAACUCGCUGUGAAGAUGCAGUGUACCCGCGGCAAGACGGAAAGACCCCGUGAACCUUUACUAUAGCUUGACACUGAACAUUGAGCCUUGAUGUGUAGGAUAGGUGGGAGGCUUAGAAGUGUGGACGCCAGUCUGCAUGGAGCCGACCUUGAAAUACCACCCUUUAAUGUUUGAUGUUCUAACGUUGACCCGUAAUCCGGGUUGCGGACAGUGUCUGGUGGGUAGUUUGACUGGGGCGGUCUCCUCCUAAAGAGUAACGGAGGAGCACGAAGGUUGGCUAAUCCUGGUCGGACAUCAGGAGGUUAGUGCAAUGGCAUAAGCCAGCUUGACUGCGAGCGUGACGGCGCGAGCAGGUGCGAAAGCAGGUCAUAGUGAUCCGGUGGUUCUGAAUGGAAGGGCCAUCGCUCAACGGAUAAAAGGUACUCCGGGGAUAACAGGCUGAUACCGCCCAAGAGUUCAUAUCGACGGCGGUGUUUGGCACCUCGAUGUCGGCUCAUCACAUCCUGGGGCUGAAGUAGGUCCCAAGGGUAUGGCUGUUCGCCAUUUAAAGUGGUACGCGAGCUGGGUUUAGAACGUCGUGAGACAGUUCGGUCCCUAUCUGCCGUGGGCGCUGGAGAACUGAGGGGGGCUGCUCCUAGUACGAGAGGACCGGAGUGGACGCAUCACUGGUGUUCGGGUUGUCAUGCCAAUGGCACUGCCCGGUAGCUAAAUGCGGAAGAGAUAAGUGCUGAAAGCAUCUAAGCACGAAACUUGCCCCGAGAUGAGUUCUCCCUGACUCCUUGA
rnacentral:rRNA from 1 species